UACGUAGGGGGCAAGCGUUGUCCGGAAUCAUUGGGCGUAAAGGAGCGCGUAGGCGGUCCGUUAAGUCGGCUGUAAAAGUCAGGGGCUCAACCCUUGAAAGCCGGCCGAUACUGUCGGACUAGAGUCCGGAAGAGGCAAGUGGAAUUCCCGGUGUAGCGGUGAAAUGCGGCAGAUAUCGGGAGGAACACCAAUGGCGAAGGCGAGCUUGCUGGGACGGUA
rnacentral:rRNA from 1 species